rnacentral:rRNA from 1 species
CCUACGGGAGGCUGCAGUGAGGAAUAUUGGUCAAUGGGCUUACGCCUGAACCAGCCAAGUCGCGUGAGGGAAGACUGCCCUAUGGGUUGUAAACCUCUUUUGUCAGGGAGCAAGUGGCGCUACGUGUAGCGUUAUCGAGAGUACCUGAAGAAAAAGCAGCGGCUAACUCCGUGCCAGCAGCCGCGGUAAUACGGAGGAUGCGAGCGUUAUCCGGAUUUAUUGGGUUGAAAGGGUGCGUAGGCGGAAUGCCAAGUCAGCGGUAAAAUCGCGGGGCUCAACCUCGCUCCGCCGUUGAAACUGGCGUUCUUGCGUGGGCGAGACGUCUGCGGCAUGCGUGGUGUCGCGG